rnacentral:rRNA from 1 species
UACGAAGGGGGCUAGCGUUGCUCGGAAUCACUGGGCGUAAAGCGCACGUAGGCGGAUCUUUAAGUCAGGGGUGAAAUCCUGGAGCUCAACUCCGGAACUGCCUUUGAUACUGGGGAUCUCGAGUCCGGAAGAGGUGAGUGGAACUCCGAGUGUAGAGGUGAAAUUCGUAGAUAUUCGGAAGAACACCAGUGGCGAAGGCGGCUCACUGGCCCGAUACUGACGCUGAGGCACGAAAGCGUGGGGAGCAAACAGGG